AUGUGCGUGACAAUGGAGUGGCACACCUGCAUCAAGUUUUCUAAUUAAUGUCCCGGGAACGCUCCAAAAAGACGAAACAACCAAGAUUUGACCAUUAAGCUGAUUACCAUGGCAGACACAGUUGCGGUGAGCAUCCUUUAUCUGUCCAAGUAGAUGAUCAAGAGCCUCCUUCUGGCCUCUUUGACGUGGUGCGCGCCCAUCAAUGUCCCUCCAACCUAGUGAAGAAAAGUGAGAAAUAUCAGAGCAUAUGAAAAUGCUUUUGCCAGAACUCCCAAUCUUCAAUUUGCAGACACCAAUCCUCUGUCUCUCCUUUCUCAGCCAAAUCAAUCAAGACAGCCGCCAACACUUACUGACCCUGCCUUGACCCUUGUCUUGUGACAGGAGCAAGCUUAGCCUGGCUUUUUUAGGGGGAAGGGGUUUCUCUCACAGGACAACACUGAGUGGAGCGUCCAUUUGUCUACCCAACCGCUUCAAAAUGCCAAACAUAAAUCAGGUGGCAGGCAACCAAGUUGCUCUUUUAAAAAAAUAUUUAGGAGGUUGUCUUGCAUCAUUGCUUAGUCAGGAGCCAAGACCUUUAACAGUAAAACAAUAACAGCGGUCAUUUUUUAAUUUUUUUAAUGGAGACCACAAGUCUGUCAAAACCAUAAUUUAAGGGUGAUUGUGACUGUAUGUUAGUUUGAUGCAUAUAAUAAAAAUCAAAUGGGAAACACUCCCAAUAUUUUCCAAGCAAAUAUUUCAAGCUUGUGUGUCAAUAUUGAUGACCCUCACAUGGGAGAGUACCUUGUAAAACCUUGUUUUAAUCACUUUGCAACAAUAGCUGAGCUCCAUCUUAUACAAAGGUAUUAUUCAUUAUCUGUCACAUGUGGCAUCCUUGAGUUCUAUCUGUAUGUUAUAUUUUAGUAGCAAAGGGGAAAAAAAUCUGACUGCUCUGGAAAGUGCUGUGUUUGUUUGUGUUGCGAAUGUAAACUGUGCCCACAACAAAUCUUAGUGUAAGAAAAUAAAAUGCGUCAGUUAAAAAAAAAAAAAUGGUGUCACAACUGUUUGCGAUAAGAGCUUUAAGUGGUCAUCUCUGGAAAGUGAUGGUGAUUUGAAAUAAAAAUGUUUCCUUUCUGAAGCAAUUGGAUUGACAAUGUUGAAUUGACAACUGUGUGGAUAUAAACUAGGGGUGUAACGAUUCAUUUUAAUGAUUCGAAUCAUUUCAUAUUUUGUGGUUGACGAUGCAAUUCAAAGUCCAUAUGGGUUCAUUUUGAACGAUUGGAUUUGAUCCGAUUCAUUGACCUAAAAUUGAUCCAGGAGAACUUUAUCCAAAAAUCCGACCAGUGUCACUCAGAGAUAAAUACCUGGGUACUGAACAGUGCAGGUGAGGUUUUUUCACAUUUUAUUUGUAUGUUUCCACACAUUGGACUGUAAGGAUUGCUUGAUCAUUUUUUGCUGCAUCACAUGUGUGUUAUCUGCUGUGAAAUACCGUACCUCAAUCCAAACAGUAUUUUCCAGCAUCAAUCGAUUUAAAGCAUCUUGAAACAAUUUUAUAAUGGUAUAGAUUGAUUUGAUUGAUAACUUGCCUCAGACAGAUCUGGUUGUAUCAUAGAAAUAUAAAUUUAUUUAAUCAUCACACCACUAGUAUAAACCAUACUUAGCUAGUAUUCUAGUUUAACACAAAAAUAUUGGGGGGGAAAAAUCCAACAGUUACAAAAACAAACAAGUUGGAAAGACAGUGGAUC